CACCCGCAGCACAAGUGGUGGUCACUUUUAUUGAGCCUAAAGCGUUCGUAGCCGGUUUUGUAAAUCUUCAGAUAAAGACUGAAGCUUAACUCCAGAAAGUCUGAAGAGACUGCAAGACUUGAGAUCGGGUGAGGUUAAACGUACUUUCGGGGUAGGGGUAAAAUCCUGUAAUCCUGGAAGGACGACCAGUGGCGAAAGCGUUUAACUAGAACGAAUCUGACGGUAAGGAACGAAGGCUAGGGUAGCAAACCGGAUUAGAUACCCGGGUAGUCCUAGCUGUAAACAUUGCCCAUUUGAUGUUGCUUUCCCGUUGAGGGAAGGCAGUGUCGGAGCGAAGGUGUUAAAUGGGCCGCUUGGGAAGUAUGGUCGCAAGACUGAAACUUAAAGGAAUUGGCGGGGGAGCACCGCAACGGGAGGAAUGUGCGGUUUAAUUGGAUUCAACGCCGGAAAACUCACCGGGAACGACCUGUGCAUGAGAGUCAACCUGACGAGUUUACUCGAUAGCAGGAGAGGUGGUGCAUGGCCGUCGUCAGCUCGUACCGUAGGGCGUUCACUUAAGUGUGAUAACGAGCGAGACCCACAUCUUUAAUUGCAAAUGUAUAUGAGAAUAUGCAUGCACUUUAGAGAAACCGCCAGCGCUAAGUUGGAGGAAGGAGUGGUCGACGGCAGGUCAGUACGCCCCGAAUUUCCCGGGCUACACGCGCAUUACAAAGAACGGGACAAUACGUUGCAACCUCGAAAGAGGAAGCUAAUCGCGAAACCCGUCCAUAGUUAGGAUUGAGGGCUGUAACUCGCCCUCAUGAAUCUGGAUUCCGUAGUAAUCGCGGGUCAACAACCCGCGGUGAACAUGCCCCUGCUCCUUGCACACACCGCCCGUCAAACCAUCCGAGUUGGUGUUGGAUGAGGUUUAAUUCGAGAGGGUUAAAUCAAAUCUGAUGUCGGUGAGGAGGGUU
rnacentral:rRNA from 1 species